rnacentral:rRNA from 1 species
UACGUAGGGCGCAAGCGUUGUCCGGAAUUAUUGGGCGUAAAGAGCUCGUAGGCGGCUUGUCACGUCGGGUGUGAAAGCCCGGGGCUUAACCCCGGGUCUGCAUUCGAUACGGGCAGGCUAGAGUGUGGUAGGGGAGAUCGGAAUUCCUGGUGUAGCGGUGAAAUGCGCAGAUAUCAGGAGGAACACCGGUGGCGAAGGCGGAUCUCUGGGCCAUCACUGACGCUGAGGAGCGAAAGCGUGGGGAGCGAACAGG